UAUACGCAUGGUAACACAUGAUAAAUGUAUUGUGUAUUUUGAGUUUUGAAGUAUUGGGUGAUGCACACUUUUCAGGGCUCAAAGGAUCAUUUAGGGCACUAACCUGUACUGUACCUGAACUGUUGUUGUAUCUGACAGUGAUACUGAAAACAUGCCAGUGAUGCAAACAAUUUUAACCUUGCCACCAACAAGGCUGGCAGUGUUGUAGGGUUCAAACAUUCAUGUUCCCUUCAGGGUGAAUUGUAAUCACCAACUGAUUCACUAAAGUGAACCAUUGUUUGUUAAUUUAGCGCCACCAUUGGGUCAAAUAUUUAAUUUGUCCUAAACUUUUGUCUCAUUCAUACUUCGGGUUUAGCACAACAAGCAAAUGUUAGCAUGCUAACUUGCUCAACUAAGAUGGUGAACAUUAUAUCUGUUACAUUCCAGUGUGAACAUGCAAUGUUAGCAUUUAGCACAAAACCUGAGUACAGCCUCACAACACUGCCUCACAACACUGCUAGCAUGGCUAUAGAUUCUUCUCUCUGUCUUGUGUUCAGUGCAAUGUUCAACAAUGUUUGUUUGUUUGUUUUUUUUUUUUUUUUUUUUUUUUUUUUUUUUUUUUUUUGCUUCACAAAAAUUAUUCCUCCCUGUCAAAGAAAGUUUUAUUUUAUGAACUGAUAUUAGACAUUGCAACAUUUGGUUUUUGCACAACUUGGUUUUUGAAUCAGCUUACUCCUAUCAAACCAAACAAUCCUAUUGGUUUCCUCCUUUUUCUGCAAACCCUCCUUUCAUAAUGUCUCACUCACAUUUUGUUUUGACAGGAAAUACUUGACAUUAAGGAAGCAAGAUGCUCUCAAACGCUCUUAGCUUCAUUGGCAGUUGAGGCCUGUCUUCCUCUUUCUCACUCUUGUUUUCUGUAUCUUCAGUCUGUUGUAAUCUGCCUUUCUUCUUCAUGCUAGUUUCUCCUUUAUUUUUUGUAACCAAAAAUGACUUUACAGCAAAAAAAAGAAAGAAAAGAAAAGAACCAUUGUAUGUGGAAAUAAAAAGAAGUCUGCCAUCUAGACUUUUCCUGUCAUGUGACCUCUCAUCCAAUGACACUAACAGCGGCUGUGGAAAGACCCUUCAUGGUGUUACAGCAGUCUGCACAGAAAGAAAAUGAAAAGACCGCAUCAAUCAAAGCUCAGCUUUCAGAAGGAAGAGAUACAGGACAAGAUGAGGAGAGAAAAAGUGAUGGAGAUGGGAGAGAGAGAGCAGGUACUGUCCACACAAACCUACCUGAUCAGAUUCAAACGUAUGUUACUAUAUUAAGCACGUUUUGCUUAGGCUUAUGUGGAAUUUGAGAUACAUCUCUUUUCUAAAAAACAAAAUUAUUUAUUGCAUCAACAAACAGAGUUAUCCCACAAAAAUUAGCAGUCUAGUGAUUUGCAUAAACAGGGUGGCUUGGGAUGGACUCAAAUUAUUAGUCUGAAUUAUUGCUUAAGUCUGCCCCUGUUGCUUACAGACCAUGUAAGGUCAAUGGGUUCAUCUUUACAUGGUGGAAAGAGAUUGUCCCUGCCCACUGAGUGGCUUCGAAAUGCUGUCAUCAAAUGACAGAGCUUGGUGCUCAUCACAAAAAAAAAAGAGGCCGUCCUUAUCUUGACCCCGCUGCUUUGGCCUGUUGGCGACAUCAUGCCAGUUUUAUGGUUAACUUCAACAACACAUGGA